rnacentral:rRNA from 1 species
GAUCCUGGCUCAGGGUGAACGCUAGCUACAGGCUUAACACAUGCAAGUCGAGGGGCAGCAUGAACUUAGCUUGCUAAGUUUGAUGGCGACCGGCGCACGGGUGAGUAACACGUAUCCAACCUGCCGAUGACUCGGGGAUAGCCUUUCGAAAGAAAGAUUAAUACCCGAUGGCAUAGUUUUUCCGCAUGGUAGAACUAUUAAAGAAUUUCGGUCAUCGAUGGGGAUGCGUUCCAUUAGGUUGUUGGCGGGG